rnacentral:misc_RNA from 1 species
GAUGAAGAACGUAGCGAAAUGCGAUAAGUAAUGUGAAUUGCAGAAUUCAGUGAAUCAUCGAAUCUUUGAACGCACAUUGCGCCACUUGGUAUUCCGAGGGGCAUGCCUGUUCGAGCGUCAUUAUAACCCCUCAAGCUCAGCUUGGAGUUGGGGCCUGCUGCACUGGCAGCCCUUAAAAUCAGUGGCGGCGCCAUCUGGCUCUAAGCGUAGUAAUUCUUCUCGCUAUGGAGUCCUGGUGGAUGCUUGCCAUCAACCCCCAAUUUUUCUAUGGUUGACCUCGGAUCAGGUAGGGAUACCCGCUGAACUUAAGCAUAUCAAUAAGCGGAGGA